rnacentral:rRNA from 1 species
GACGAACGCUGGCGGCGCGCUUAACACAUGCAAGUCGAACGGAAAGGCCUGCUUUCCCUUGUGGAUUGCGGGUACUCGAGUGGCGAACGGGUGAGUAACACGUGAGUGAUCUGCCCCCAACUUGGGUAUAAGCCUGGGAGACUGGGUCUAAUUCCCGAUAGGACUGCAGGGUGGUGCCUGUGGUGGAAAACGAUUUUCUAGUGGUUGGGGAUGAGCUCGCGGCCUAUCAGCUUGUUGGUGGGGUAAUGGCCUACCAAGGCGGCGACGGGUAGCCGGCCUGAGAGGGUGGACGGCCACAUUGGGACUGAGAUACGGCCCAGACUCCUACGGGAGGCAGCAGUGGGGAAUAUUGCACAAUGGGCGGAAGCCUGAUGCAGCGACGCCGCGUGGGGGAUGACGGCCUUCGGGUUGUAAACUCCUUUCGACCGCGAGGAAGCCACCUGGUUGGAAGGGUGGUGACGGUAGUGGUAGAAGAAGCACCGGCUAACUACGUG